GGGCCCGCACAAGCGGUGGAGCAUGUGGUUUAAUUCGAUGCAACGCGAAGAACCUUACCUACUCUUGACAUCCAGAGAAGCCAGCGGAGACGCAGGUGUGCCUUCGGGAGCUCUGAGACAGGUGCUGCAUGGCUGUCGUCAGCUCGUGUUGUGAAAUGUUGGGUUAAGUCCCGCAACGAGCGCAACCCUUAUCCUUGUUUGCCAGCACGUAAUGGUGGGAACUCCAGGGAGACUGCCGGUGAUAAACCGGAGGAAGGUGGGGACGACGUCAAGUCAUCAUGGCCCUUACGAGUAGGGCUACACACGUGCUACAAUGGUGGUGACAGUGGGCAGCGAGACGGCAACGUCGAGCUAAUCUCCAAAAGCCAUCUCAGUUCGGAUUGGGGUCUGCAACUCGACCCCAUGAAGUUGGAAUUACUAGUAAUCG
rnacentral:rRNA from 1 species